UGGGGAAUUUUGGACAAUGGGGGGAACCCUGAUCCAGCAACGCCGCGUGAAUGAAGGAGGCCUUAGGGUUGUAAAGUUCUUUUAUAGUAGAGCAAGUGUAUAGGGUUAAGAGCUGUAUAUAUUGAGAGUAUACUAUGAAUAAGCACCGGCUAACUACGUGCCAGCAGCCGCGGUAAUACGUAGGGUGCGAGCGUUAAUCGGAAUUACUGGGCGUAAAGGGUGAGUAGGCGGAAGUUUAAGUUAGAUGUGAAAUACCUUGGCUUAACCAAGGGGGGUCAUUUAAUACUGAAUUUCUAGAGUAUAUCAGAGGGGGGUAGAAUUCCAAGUGUAGCAGUGAAAUGCGUAGAGAUUUGGAGGAAUAUCGAAGGCGAAGGCAGCCUCCUGGGAAGAUACUGACGCU
rnacentral:rRNA from 1 species